rnacentral:rRNA from 1 species
CAGCCGCCGCGGUAAUACGCAGGGUGCAAGCGUUAAUCGGAAUUACUGGGCGUAAAGCGUGCGCAGGCGGUUCUAUAAGACAGAUGUGAAAUCCCCGGGCUCAACCUGGGAACUGCGUUUGUGACUGUAGAGCUGGAGUACGGCAGAGGGGGAUGGAAUUCCGCGUGUAGCAGUGAAAUGCGUAGAUAUGCGGAGGAACACCGAUGGCGAAGGCAAUCCCCUGGGCCUGUACUGACGUUCAUGCACGAAAGCGUGGGGAGCAAACAGGAUUAGAUACCGAGUAGUCCCUGUCUCUUAUACA